UACGGGGGGGGCAAGCGUUGUUCGGAAUCACUGGGCGUAAAGGGCCAGUAGGCGGCCAACUAAGUCGGAUGUGAAAUCCCCAGGCUUAACCUGGGAACUGCAUCCGAUACUGGAUGGCUUGAAUUCGGGAGAGGGAUGCAGAAUUCCAGGUGUAGCGGUGAAAUGCGUAGAUAUCUGGAGGAAUACCGGUGGCGAAGGCGGCAUCCUGGACCGACAUUGACGCUGAACGGCGAAAGCUAGGGGAGCAAACGGG
rnacentral:rRNA from 1 species